rnacentral:rRNA from 1 species
CACGUAGGGACCAAGCGUUGUCCGGAUUCAUUGGGCGUAAAGAGCUCGUAGGCGGUUCAGUAAGUCGGGUGUGAAACCUCCAGGCUCAACCUGGAGACGCCACCCGAUACUGCUGUGACUAGAGUCCAGUAGGGGAGCGUGGAAUUCCUGGUGUAGCGGUGAAAUGCGCAGAUAUCAGGAGGAACACCAGUGGCGAAGGCGGCUUUCUGGACGGUAACUGACGCUGAGGCGCGAAAGCGUGGGGAGCAAACAGG